rnacentral:rRNA from 1 species
GACGUAGGGCGCGAGCGUUGUCCGGAUUUAUUGGGCGUAAAGAGCUCGUAGGCGGCUUGUCGCGUCGACUGUGAAAUCCCGCGGCUCAACUGCGGGUCUGCAGUCGAUACGGGCAGGCUAGAGUUCGGUAGGGGAGACUGGAAUUCCUGGUGUAGCGGUGAAAUGCGCAGAUAUCAGGAGGAACACCGGUGGCGAAGGCGGGUCUCUGGGCCGUAACUGGACGCUGAGGAGCGAAAGCAUGGGGAGCGAACAGG